rnacentral:rRNA from 1 species
AGUGAACGCUGGCGGUAGGCCUAACACAUGCAAGUCGAACGGCAGCACAGUAAGAGCUUGCUCUUACGGGUGGCGAGUGGCGGACGGGUGAGGAAUACAUCGGAAUCUACUUUUUCGUGGGGGAUAGCGUAGGGAAACUUACGCUAAUACCGCAUACGACCUACGGGUGAAAGCAGGGGAUCUUCGGACCUUGCGCGAUUGAAUGAGCCGAUGUCGGAUUAGCUAGUUGGCGGGGUAAAGGCCACCAAGGCGACGAUCCGUAGCUGGUCUGAGAGGAUGAUCAGCCACACUGGAACUGGGACACGGUCCAGACUCCUACGGGAGGCAGCAGUGGGGAAUAUUAGACAAUGGGCGCAAGCCUGAUCCAGCCAUACCGCGUGGGUGAAGAAGGCCUUCGGGUUGUAAAGCCCUUUUGUUGGGAAAGAAAAGCAGCAGGUUAAUACCCCGCUGUUCUGACGGUACCCGAAGAAUAAGCACCGGCUAACUUCGUG